rnacentral:sRNA from 1 species
AUGUACACGCGUACAUGGCGACUGCUGUGCCGUCCGCACCCACCUGGCGACUGCUCGUUACGUUUUAGCGGCC